GAUGAACGCUAGCGGCAGGCUUAACACAUGCAAGUCGAGGGGUAGAGGUUGCUUGCAACCUUGAGACCGGCGCACGGGUGCGUAACGCGUAUGCAACCUACCUUUUACAGAGGGAUAGCCCAGAGAAAUUUGGAUUAAUACCUCAUAGUAUAUAGUCUUCGCAUGUUGACUAUAUUAAAGUUCCAACGGUAAAAGAUGGGCAUGCGUCCUAUUAGCUAGAUGGUAAGGUAACGGCUUACCAUGGCAACGAUAGGUAGGGGUCCUGAGAGGGGGAUCCCCCACACUGGUACUGAGACACGGACCAGACUCCUACGGGAGGCAGCAGUGAGGAAUAUUGGACAAUGGGCGCAAGCCUGAUCCAGCCAUGCCGCGUGCAGGAAGAAGCAUCUAUGGUGUGUAAACUGCUUUUGUACGGGAAGAAACACUCCGACGUGUCGGAGCUUGACGGUACCGUAAGAAUAAGGAUCGGCUAACUCCGUGCCAGCCGCCGCGGUAAAAC
rnacentral:rRNA from 1 species